AACUUUAUAUUCAAUAAUGAUUUUAAAUUGCAAAUUUAAAGGAGUAAAUUAUAAUUACUAAAGUUU
rnacentral:tRNA from 1 species